UGGGGAAUAUUGGACAAUGGGCGCAAGCCUGAUCCAGCCAUGCCGCGUGAGUGACGAAGGUCUUCGGAUUGUAAAGCUCUUUUGGCGGGGACGAUAAUGACGGUACCCGCAGAAUAAGCCCCGGCUAACUUCGUGCCAGCAGCCGCGGUAAUACGAAGGGGGCUAGCGUUGUUCGGAAUUACUGGGCGUAAAGCGCGGGCAGGCGGUCUGUUAAGUCGUUUGUGAAAAUCCGGGGCUCAACCCCGGAAAUGCAUACGAUACUGGCAGGCUGGAGACUGGUAGAGGCUAGCGGAAUUCCUGGUGUAGCGGUGGAAUGCGUAGAUAUCUGGAGGAACACCGGUGGCGAAGGCGACAUCCUGGACCAAUUCUGACGCUGAGGAGCGAAAGCCAGGGGAGCAAACGGGAUUAGAUACCCCCGUAGUCCCUGAG
rnacentral:rRNA from 1 species